UAUCUCCUACUAAUCAGGUGUGGUGUGUGUACAGGUCGUCUUCAGACAGGUGUGGUCUGUGUUUAUGGUCUCUUCAGAAGGAUUUCAAACAGACAAAGCAUCAAAGGAGAAGGAAAUAUAGGUGAUGCCAAAGUGUGUCAUUACCUAGUAGACGAUAGGUAGACGCACAGUUUGUACAAUAUGAUUUUGCAAGUAUACAAAAGUAUAUUUUAUUCCAAAACUAAAAAUGUCACAUUUGUGUUAUUUGGUAAUGAGAGGUUUUAUGUCACUAUAACACAAUUUGUGUGCCUUCUUUACUGUAACACUAUUCUUUUUAUUACCAGUAAUAAGAUAAUUGUAUGUUAUAAUUGUUACAAUCUGCACUUUUGCAUGAAAUAAAGAUCUUAAAUUUGAAUAUUGUGCCAUUAAGGAUGAAUGUACAAUGUUAUCAAAAAGUCCACAGUAGUAAAAUAACAGUUCCAGGAUUUGCUUGAUGGGUAACUUACUUCCUGUUGUGUAUAUAUUGCGACCAAUAGUAAUACUAUUUAACCCUCACAUUAACUUAUUAACUAACUUUGACCUGUUACCGUUCUAAAGUUUGUGAUCACAGUGUCACAGAAGCAUGGCUAGGCUGCUGUGGUCAUGUGACUUUCCCCUGAAGUCCAGUGAGAAACAACAUUGACCAGAACAAACACUUUCAUUGUGAACAAUGUGAAGCAAAGCAAGAUGUCACCAACAUCCGCAUCUUGAACUGAAUAAUUGUUGUUCUGUUUGUUGGUGUUGCACAGAGAUGGGAACUAACAAAGUACAAAUACUUUUUAUGGUAUCAGUACUUUACUAUAAAUUUUUCUGUCAACUUUUUACUUUCACUC